AGAGUUUGAUCCUGGCUCAGGAUGAACGCUGGCGGCAUGCCUAAUACAUGCAAGUCGAACGAGAGGAAGGAAAGCUUGCUUUUCUGAAUCUAGUGGCGAACGGGUGAGUAACACGUAGGUAACCUGCCCAUGUGCCCGGGAUAACUUCUGGAAACGGAUGCUAAAACCGGAUAGGUAGCAGACAAGCAUUUGACUGCUAUUAAAGUGGCUUUGGCCAUGAACAUGGAUGGACCUGCGGUGCAUUAGCUGGUUGGUGAGGUAACGGCCCACCAAGGCGACGAUGCAUAGCCGGCCUGAGAGGGCGGACGGCCACAUUGGGACUGAGACACGGCCCAAACUCCUACGGGAGGCAGCAGUGGGGAAUUUUCGUCAAUGGGGGGAACCCUGAACGAGCAAUGCCGCGUGAGUGAGGAAGGUCUUCGGAUCGUAAAGCUCUGUUGUAAGAGAAAAACGGCACUCAUAGGGAAUGAUGAGUGAGUGAUGGUAUCUUACCAGAAAGUCACGGCUAACUACGUGCCAGCAGCCGCGGUAAUACGUAGGUGGCGAGCGUUAUCCGGAAUGAUUGGGCGUAAAGGGUGCGUAGGUGGCAGAUCAAGUCUGGAGUAAAAGGUAUGGGCUCAACCCGUACUGGCUCUGGAAACUGAUCAGCUAGAGAACAGAAGAGGACGGCGGAACUCCAUGUGUAGCGGUAAAAUGCGUAGAUAUAUGGAAGAACACCGGUGGCGAAGGCGGCCGUCUGGUCUGGAUUCUGACACUGAAGCACGAAAGCGUGGGGAGCAAAUAGGAUUAGAUACCCUAGUAGUCCACGCCGUAAACGAUGAGAACUAGGUGUUGGGGGAAUAACUCAGUGCCGCAGUUAACGCAGUAAGUUCUCCGCCUGGGGAGUAUGCACGCAAGUGUGAAACUCAAAGGAAUUGACGGGGGCCCGCACAAGCGGUGGAGUAUGUGGUUUAAUUCGAAGCAACGCGAAGAACCUUACCAGGCCUUGACAUCCCUUGCAGAGGUAUAGAGAUAUAUCCGAGGUUAUCAAGGAGACAGGUGGUGCAUGGUUGUCGUCAGCUCGUGUCGUG
rnacentral:rRNA from 1 species